rnacentral:misc_RNA from 1 species
AACCUUAUGGACCUGCGGGCGUAUACCUGCGGAGGGAUCAUUAUGAAUUUGAACUUGUGUGGCUGUUUCAUUUACAUGAACGCUCGCAAUUCUUUUUCUGUGAACUGUUCUUGAGUUUUUUUUUCUCACAAUUUAUUUUGUGAGAGAGAGAGACUCGGGUCAUUUUUGUUUUCUUGAUUUUUUAUUCCAUAUUUUUUUUUGAGUAAUUCUUGCAAAAGAAUGAAAUAAAAAAAUAAUAAA